rnacentral:rRNA from 1 species
CCUACGGGUGGCAGCAGUGGGGAAUAUUGGGCAAUGGGCGCAAGCCUGACCCAGCAACGCAGCGUGAAGGAAGACGGCUCUCGGGUUGUAAACUUCUUUUGUUAGGGACGAAGCAAGUGACGGUACCUGACGAAUAAGCAACGGCUAAAUACGUGCCAGCACCCGCGGUAAUCCGUCGGUGGCAAGCGUUAUCCGGAUUUACGGGGUGUAAAGGGCGUGUAGGCGGGACUGCAAGUCAGGUGUGAAAACCACGGGCUCAACCGGUGGCCUGCAUUUGAAACUGGAUUUCUUGAGUACCGGAGAGGCAGACGGAAUUCCUAGUGUAGCGGUGAAAUGCUUAGAUAUUAGGAAGAACACCAGUGGCGAAGGCGGUCUGCUGGACAGCAACUGACGCUGAGGCGCGAAAGCGUGGGGAGCAAACAGGAUUAGAUACCCGUGUAGUC